AUACGGAGGGUGCGAGCGUUGUUCGGAAUUACUGGGCGUAAAGCGCGCGCAGGCGGGGGUGCAAGUCGGGGGUGAAAUCCUAGGGCUCAACCCUGGGACUGCUUUCGAUACUGCAUCUCUAGGGACCGGUAGAGGUCGGUGGAAUUCCCGGUGUAGCGGUGGAAUGCGUAGAGAUCGGGAAGAACACCUGUGGCGAAGGCGGCCGACUGGGCCGGAUCCGACGCUGAGGCGCGAAAGCGUGGGGAGCAAACAGGAUUAGAUACCCUGGUAGUCCACGCCGUAAACGAUGGGUGCUAGAUGCCGGGGGGAGCGACCCCUUCGGUGUCGCAGCUAACGCGUUAAGCACCCCGCCUGGGGAGUACGGCCGCAAGGCUGAA
rnacentral:rRNA from 1 species